UUACAAUAUGAUUUUUAGGAUUUUAAAUUUUAUUUAUAUUUCUAAUUUCAUAUGUUUUCUGACGUUUCUCUAUCAGAACACACACAGACAUAUUCACACAUAUGUUUACAUAGAUGUUCUGACUUUUGCUUGAAAAUUUUGUUCUACCCAGAAUAACCCCAUUCAUCCUUUCCAUCUUUCUAAAUCUUAUCCAUUCUUCAAAACACUGUAUAAAUCCUGCCUAUGCUUCUCUGGCCACAGUAGCAUUGAAUCCUCUCUCCUUCCUCUGGAUAUCUUUGGUCUUUAAUGUUUGUAUCAUUAAUUUAUUAAAUAUGUUCAUUCUCAAUAGUUCUUAGAGUUAUGCUGCUUAAUAUUUUUAUUUAACUUUUGUAUGCAGUGAUUUAACUGUAAACUUUUUGAGAACAGAGUGCUAAGUUCAUCUUUAUCAAUUUGCUCUCUAAUUGGCUUCUGUAAAAACUAGUAAAUACAACAGAAACAAGCAAUAAAACCCACACUGCCCACAUCUUACAUUUUAUAUGGGAGAGUGAUAAGAUUUAAAAUAAAUAUAUUUAUUAUGAUAAUGUUGAGUAUUGAUGUUAAUUCUCCCAUGUGACAUGUAUAUGGAUAUAUAUGUAUGCUUGUAUUUAUAAAGAAACUAUUAUAACUUAAUUCUGAUUAGCCUCUUGCAGCUUUUCAAAAUUCAUUCUACUGUGUCUUCUCAUGACUGAUAACUUGGAAAGGUGAGUGACUGCCAUUAUAGUCCUUGUUUAUUUAGGAGGAAACUGGUGUUCAGAGAAUUAUAAUUUGAUAAAGAUUUGAUCAUUAUUAAUUGGCUAAGGAGGUGCCAUAAUUAGAGUCUAGGAGUCUUCUAAUCCAGUUUCUCUCAGAAUAUCUGCACUGAAAGACCAGCUCCCCACCCACCCCCAAUAUGCUGCUAACCAUUAUUUUUUAGUAAUAUAAUUGAAUUACUAGAAAAAUAAAAAAAUAAGAUGAAGAGUUCCUAAAUUGUUAAUCUCAAUGUACUUAUUGUUUUGGUUGGAAAACAAAUAGCACAUGGAACAGCUCCAGUCUCUGGAUCACACUUUCAGUGUUGCUUGUGUCAAUCAUGACAUAUCCCUUCUAAAAGAAUCAUCCUCAUCCAGAAUAUCUGCCAUCUAAAUUGCUAUGUUUACUCACACAGGAUCUAACCCUAACGCUAACCCAACCCAAACACUAACUCUUUAAAUUUACAGCUGAAUGGAGUGGGGCCAAAAAAUAGAUUGGCCAGCAAUUUUUGAACUGUGUGGCCAGGCUGCAAAAGAUGAGCUGGGCUCAUCAGUAUUUUUGUCUCUAGACUUAGAUAUAAUAUGCGAAGAAAAAAAUUUUCUGUGAAAUUCCAAGGUUUGGGACAUGGUUAAAAUGUGAACGAGCAGAAACUUUGAGUAAUCCGUGAAAGCUGGAUUGGGGCAGGGCAGAUAGAGGAAUAUGUGCAAUGCAGCUGAGUCAUGUUAAUAGUAGAUGACUAAAGAUUAAAGAACUGCUGGGCCAGUAACAGUGGCUCAUGCCUGUAAUCCCAGCACUUUGGGAGGCCGAGGCUGAUGGAUCACGAGGUCAGGAGUUCGAGACCAGCCUGGCCAACAUGGUGAAACCCCAUCUCUACUAAAAAUACAAAAGUUAACUGGGCAUGUAGGCGCACGCCUGUAAUCCCAGCUACUCGGGAGGCUGAGGCAGGAGAAUCGCUUGAACCCAGGAGGUGGAGGUUACAGUGAGCCAAGAUCACGCCAUUGCACUCCAGCCUGGGCGACAGGGCGAGACUCCAUCUAAAACAACAACAACAAAGAUUAAAGAACUGUGCUGAAGCUGAAAAAGCUGCUAGAAUUCUAGAAUUACCCCCAGUACCCCUUAGCCCAAGGCAUGAAACAUCAUUUUCUUUGAAUGUCCUAAGAUACAGAUCCUACACUUCUUACAAUGUACAUCUAUAUCCUAGCUGGCACAAAUAUGUCUCUGAAUUAUUCAAGAAGCUUAGCUUAACCAGGACAUAGUCCCAGGCUUUUCUUAUUAUACCAAACAAGCUUAUUUCAGAACCAGUAGAAGCCAUAUUUGAAAGACAAGUUAUUGGCAUCCACAUCUCUGCAAUGAGAUUGUAAACCAAACUGUGUUGAUCUGGUGGAACUAUCUUCUGUUUGCUACUAAAAUCUGUCUCCUACAUACCUACUUUUCAGUUUCUUUGUUUUUAACUUAGUCACAAAAAAAGAAUAAUUACAACAUUUUUCAUAGUUAAUUAUAGUCUGAUUUUGCUCAAGGAGGAAAUAUCUUAAAAUUUAUACCAAAUUAUCUCAAUAAUGGAUGAGCUCCCACAAUUCAUCUGCCCGCUGUAUGUUCUCCGAUUUGCAGAGCUUUUUAGAACCAACCCCUACUCUUUAAUGGGCCAGACAUGUGCUUUUAGUUGUACUAACCCAGACACACAUCAUAUAUUAAUGGCUUCUGGAAUCACCCCAGAAAUCAAAGGUGUAGGUAUGAGAUUGAGUGCACAGUGAUUUUCCAAACAUGUUUUAUUGCUUGAUGCUUUUUUUUAAAAAAAGGAAAAUGUUCAUAUAGAUUUUAACUCCUUAGCUAUAUUAAAAUAGCAUAUUUGCUUCACAGUUUAAAAGUUUCUCUUAGUACAAAAAUGAAAUCAUAGCUUCUUUUUUUAUUCUUCAGUAAAUUCUAAAUUUUAAAUUACUGCUAAAUUAAAUGGUUUGUGUCAGAUGUUAACAAUAUGCGGCUUUAGAUUAAAACAAGCUCCAUGUAAUCUUACUGAGCCAGUAGGUCAUAGAAAUAAGAGAAAAUGUGCUUGAAUCACAGGAGAGAAGGGAUGUUGGAUAGAUCUGUGAAAUCUUUAUGUUGUAGUAUCAGCUGAUUGAUAGCAGUGAUUCUCAGAAGGGUUCCAAUAUUAAGCCUUUCAAAAGCUGGAGAUUAGUGCAACCAUGGUGAACACAGUGACAUUCUGGCAAAGAAAAAAGGGUCAGGGCUGGCAAAAUGUGGCAGGUGUCAAAAUAAAAGGUUAGGCUCUAUGCCUGGGGACCCAUCUGUCAGAUAAAAGUAUGACAAGGCAAUUAAUGUGUUUAUUUAUGUUGCUUAUGACAAACCAUGCAUUCCCUAAAAAUGAUCAAUUUAAACAUUAUCAACUGUUUUCUGGAAAUUAAAAUUAAUAUAAAAAUAAAAUGUUUAAAAUAAAAAGCAUGGUGUAAUAUUGAAAUGGCUUGUUUAUAUAACCAAAUAAAGUUAACUUUGGGGAAUUAUAGUAGUCUUCAUUGAAGGAUUAGAACUAUUAAAUAUAACAUCUUGACAAUAUAGAAGUUAUAUUAAGGAUCCACAAAACUGAUGUUUAUGUUGCAAGAUAAUCUUGGUAGCACUUCUCAUAAGUUCAGCAUGUUUUAUAUUCAUUGAGCUAAAUUUGAUAAUUUCAUAAUAAAAUGAAGCCAAGAAAAUUAUGAAGAAAUAGAAUUUAGAUAUCCAAGCUAUGCGUCUUGCAUUUUCUUUAAAUGUUUUGUUCACAACCUUGUCAUUAUUAGAGCUUUCAUUUUCACUUUGUGACUAAUCCUGACUUCUCUUUAAUUUAUUUAUUAUUUAUUUAGCUUUCUCACUACUUCUGUUUUACCAUCUGUUUAAACUAGAAUAUGUUUAGAUUUAAUAUUCAUCGGUGAUACAUUUUCCUACAGAUAAAAUAAAUUACUACAAGCUCCUAAAAUGUCAUGUGUUUUACAGGUCAAUAAAAUCUAACCCAGAAUUUUGAGAGAAACAGAAUUUACUACAGUCUAAAGUUUUAUGCAAAAACUGAUCAUCCCCAUUCUUUCCUUGAAUAAAGAAAAGAAGCUGUCAAUUACCAUGUAUUAAUAAGUGAGGCUCACACCUUAUAGUAGCAACAAAAUUAGAAGAGAAAUAAUAUGUAUGUCUAGUGUAAUGUGAUAUGCAGAAGAAAAAUUUAAAUUCUUUAAUUGUAAAGGAAAAAAGCCAAUAUGAUAAUGUUAUUUCCAAGGUGCACUUUCUGUCUGCUGAGCGAUGAAAUUAACAAGUAAAGUCAUUGGAAUAGUCAAUAAAAUCAUUUGGCUUUGGAAAGAACAGAGGUAUUUUGUUCAAUAGUUUUGUUUUCUUUAGGCUGAGACAGUAAUUAUGCCAUCAUCAUCACUUUCCAUCUUUUAGAAGGAUAUUGGUUAAAUUUUGAGUUAAUGAUUUUUUUCUCCCCAAGAUUCCUUUCUAGCCCCUAAUAUUACUAUAGUCUUAAACUAUCUUCUGUUUGUCAUACAAAAUGGCUUCUCAUAGAACAACACCAAUGUCAGGGUAGGAGCUGAGGAAGAAAAAGUAAAUAAAAAUACACAAAAUCCAAACUUUGUUAUAUGUUCCAUUCAGUGGCCUUAUACAUGAUUUACAAAUUUUGUUUGAAGUUUAAUUAUAAUUAACCACUAUUUAAUUCGAAUUCACUGCUGGCUGUAUUUCCUGAUUCAGAGUUCCAUAUUGCUUCUAUUGCUGGUUUUAAUUUAUUUGAACCUCAGUCUUCUAAAUUGUCUCUAUUUCCUACCCAUUAUUUUUUAUUUGCCUAGAGGUACUUGAAAAUGCAUUCAGAAAAAAAAAAUUCUUACUCACCAUUUUGUACAACUCUUCAAAACUCUAGGAUAUGCUACAUAAUGUACAUAAUAAAAGUAGUAAUUUCAACAGAAAAUAAAGAUGCCACUCAAUUUUGCCAUGGAUUUAUAAAAAUGACACAUCAGACAACAGGUAAGUUUUUUUUUAACUUAUUGACCAUGAUAACAAUCCAUUAUCAACUAGCUAUUUCACAGGAUAUAUUCUGUCUUUACAUUGGAAGAAAAAUAUACAAUGAAACUCAUUUUAUAAAAAGAAAAACCAAUUUAAUUUAUACCUUUAUAUUUUCACAGAAGCAUAUGAGAAAAAUUUGCUGGGUAUCUACUCACUUCAAUUCAAACAUUUGAAGAAAUUAUGAAAAUUCCGAUGAGUUUUUAAAGUUUGUGCUUGCUCUGGUGUAGUGUAGCCAUGCAUUGAUCUAUCAUCACAGCCAAAAGUGGAAACAAUUCAAAUGUCCAACAACUGACGAAAAGAUGAAGUGUGGUAUAUCCAUAUAAUGGAAUAAUAUGCAGACAUAAAGUGGAAUGAUUGACACAUGUUUACAACAUGGAUGAACCUUGACAACGCUGUGUUAAGUUAAAGAAGCCAGACACAAAAGGAUUGUCAACACUGUGGCAAUUGAAAAUAACAGGAAUAACUGUUUUAUGACAAAUGGACCUGAACCCUAUGAAAUGAAUUUGCAAGCACUGGCACAGUUAACAUAUGCUACAAACAACCAUCUUCAGACAGUGUAGCCAACCAACUGUGCCAGACUUAAACUGACGACCCUGAGGUGAAUCGUUCUAUUGCCACAACAUUUCUGAUCCUCAAGGCUCUCCAUGCUCCUAAACUCUUUUCUUUAAUAUUCUACAGUGUGUUUAUUUUCACGGCUAUAAAGUCAUACUCAGAUUUGCAAUGAUAUUUACUACCAUAUUUCAGAGUGUUUUAACUGAUGUUAGUUCAAAUCAAUUCUGGAGAAACUUUCCAGCCAAGGGAAUUGCAAGCUAGCUGGUUGACAUUGGAGGUCAAAUACUCCAGGGUAUGGGUCUCAAAUCACUUAAUUCUUCACAGCAAAUUAGAAACGGGACUCCAGCUGGUGCUAAAGAAUAAGACAGACUUGCUGUAUAAGGACAAGCUGCUGCUUGGAUUUCGAGUCUUUAUAUUCCUAAAAUAAAAAAUGUGAGACCCAAUUCCCACCCCCCAAUCUCAUUCUUUCAGAGUAAAAGAUUUCUUAACAACAGCAAAAAUCUGGCCACCUGAUUUCAAUACAUAAAUCUUGCCAAGUUAUAAAAAUAAGAUAUGAUUUAAACAGCAACCUGUAAUCUCCUGUUGACGACCAGCUGUGCCUCCUAUUAGUAUUAAUGGAAGUUACACAGGCAUAAUAAGAAGGAGGGGAAAAUGCCACCUUAUGCUUUUUGCACACCUUAACAUUUUUAUAGCAAGUCUGAUUACAAGGGUUUACUUGAGCGGCAAUUAAACAAUGAUUGAUUACUCAGUACAAUUUGUAUUCCAGGCAACAUGCAAAUGGUAAUGAAAUUCUCAGAUAAGGAAUGGAAUAAAUUCUUCUCACAUCAGAGAAUCACAUCUUUUUAACAGAAAACGUUUUCUUAUAUGGAGAGAAGAACUUCAGUAUAAGUUUCUUAAAUAAUACAUGUUUACCCAAAGACAAUAAGCCUUGAUUUGGAUUUAGAAAGGAAUGGUAAUGAUUUUUGCAAAUUGUACUUCCCACUUCACCUUUAGACUACGGCUCUCUUUCCAUGAUGACAAACUAUAUGGAUGGAAAGUAUAAUAUUCACUCACAAAUAUAUUGACUUCGACUAUAGUCACAACUAUAAACAAUAUUUUUCAUCAUAUUUUGACAUUGCAGAAAUAAUAUCUACUUUUAAAUUGAAAGUGAAGUGAAAGGUUUAUUUAUUAAGUGUCUAUCAUGUGCCAGGCACCAUUCUAGGUGUAGGCAACACAGCAAAGAACACACAAUACUCAUGGUAGAGAAGAAGAAACUGACAAUAUACAAGUAUACAGAUAUAGAUACAAAGUCAGUGUAUAUAGAAUAAAGAAAACGAUCAGGAGAAACUGAUAGGCAUUGAUGUGUAUAUGUACCUAUUCAUAUUCAGGGGAAAAUGAUGGAAAGGGAAGUCGAUGACUUUGCACCUGCUUUUUCCUACUUAAGGAAGAUCCUGAUCCAACAUCAUUGAAUAGUUGCCUGCUCUGUACCAUUUUGAUAUUCAUCCAAGUACAAAUAAUAGAAAGAGCUUAGAAUUAAUAUGCUGGAUAAAUAGUAAAGCCACAGUGGCUGAUGUGGUAUAAGCUGGAGUAAAAUGGAGAUGACAUGAGAUCACAGAUACACAGAGGUAUAGUCAUUGUAAGCCAAUUUAAGUAAUGUGUGCUUUACUUUAAUUUUAAUGAGAAUCCAUUGAUAGGUUAACAGGAGAGUGUUAUGAUGUAAAUAUGUUUUUCAACCAUCAAUCUAAUUGCUGUAUGUAUGUUAUGGGAUAUAGUAGAAAUGUGACCUACCUUGAAAUCUGCAUUUUUCCUGAAGAACUGGCUAAUACAUUACCAUUUUCACUUAUUGAAAAUUUAACGUAAAAGAGAAAUUGCAGUUAAUAUCUUAUAGUCAGGUAUGUUUAAAAAUAAAAAUCAGAAAUCGCUCCUGCUUUAAGGUACUAUUAUCAUAAAAGGCAGGGAUAUGUGAAAGGAAAGAGAAGAAAAAGUUAUGAUGUCUAUAAAAACAAAAUAUUAGAAAAGACUAUUAAGGAUCACAUUGUCCAUCAGCUUGCUUUUUGCAGCUGGGAUAAAUGGCUGUUUAUGUUCUUUGUUCAGAUUUCCAGGAUAAAGACUUCAUAUCAUCCCUGGUAGUCCACGCUAAUAUUUUAUCUUUGACAUAAAGAAGUUAUUUUUUAUAUCCAAUUACAUUGUCUCAAUUUAUUAAACCUAUUUCAUGACCUGAUGUCAAAAUAGAAAACAACUGCUCACUAUUCUGAUAAAAACUAUUUGAAUACAAUAAUUUAUUCAAGCUUAGCCAGCUUUGUCUUCUCUAAGCUAAAGAAUCUGAAACUCUUUUAUCAUUCCCUAUUUUUAUCACUUUAGUCAAAUUUUUCUUAUGCCCAGAAAAAUCUACUUUAAAGUAUGAAUUGCUUCUUGUAUCAAAGCACAUACAAGUUGAUUAGAAAUUUAUGUUCUAUGUUUAGCAAUUUAGCUUAGUUAAAAUGAUGAGAGGAAGAUGACAAAGUAUUUAACACAUUAUAUUUCUGUGAAAAUCUGUGAUACAACUCAUCGCAUAGGCAUGGAUUUACUAUGCGUAACAAUUACAACUAUACAUAUUUAUUUAGGAUGUGCAUGAUACAUGUAAUAUAUUUAGUCAUACAUAAUAGGUAUAUACAUAUGUUUGUUUCUUACUGUAACAAGGAAAAACCAUGAAAUAGAUAUUAUCAUUCUUUAAUCAGGAUUCUCAUAGGUCACAGAUUAGACUAGACUAGAACAGCAAAAUAGAAAAAUUCUGUAAGGGAACACAUUACUCUAUUUCAAGGCAGACAUGUAAAAUAGAAGGUAUUGAGUGAAGGAGUCCUGGGCAAGAAUCCAAGAUCUGCCACCCAUUAGUCUUGUGAAGAUACAGCAUUAACAUUGUGAAGCCUCGAUUUUCUUAAUUAUAUGAUAAUUAAUAUACAAUGUCUAAUAAAUUGCUUAGCAAAAUAGGAACUCUAAAUGUUAGUUCCAUGAAUAAAACCAAAAUAAAAUCCAUUUGGACGUUUAUAAAACCAAAAAAUGCUGUUUAUAAAGUAUACUGCACUUAAAAUAAAUAAAUAAAAUUCACGAUAUUGUGGUGGUGUUUCAAUAACUCCUACCUACCACCCCCAAGAAAGAAAUUAGGUAUCUGAAACUCCAAUACAAUACAUAAGUGUCAGUUUCUACAUUUUUAAUUUCAGAUUAUUGUGGUAAUUAAAUAAAAGAUCAUGUGUAAUGUCCUGGGCAUACAGUAGAUGAUCAAUAAAGUCAGCUAUUUUUAUUAGCUCUAAGUAAAAUUAAUGAUUAAGCAUGCAUGGUUCAACAGAGGAUGCAACACAGCAAUCAAUGGUUUUUAAAGCUAGUACAGAUGGGAAGGUGGCUCUGUCCAUAUACUCUAGUCAUUCAUUAUCCAGGAACAACAAGUGUGGGCCAGGAAAAUCUUUCCCUAGAACAAUAGUGGAUGCCAAGAUCCUAACCACUCAAUACAAUCUCUCAGAAAGAAACAUUUGGUGGCCUUUAAAUAGAAAGUAUCAUGCCAAAAGAAUGUUUUUGGUUCUAUACUUUUUAAUCUCCAAAUUGAAAAUAGUUAAGUUGAAAAAUGUUUCUCAUUUUUCUUCUUAUUAUAUUCUUCAGGGGGUCAAAGUCAAUCUUGAAAUAUGUUAAUGCUGUUACAUCCUAAGGUGCUGCUGGUUUGGAAGAUGGGCAAAAAAAUUAAAAAAUGUAUAAAGCCUUUAAGAAACAAACGUGUGUGUGACACAGAUGGCUGGAAUAAAUUAUGGGACUCAAAAAGCGGUUCAAUUUGCUUAGUUUUAAAAUCCAUUUGGACAUUUAUCAAAGUUCACAUUGUGAAAUGUAUUUGUGCUACUUGGAAGAGUGAUAGUAAUCAGCACCCGCAACACCAACCCCCAGAAAAGAAAAAUAAAUAAAAAAAAGGAAAAAUCUAUAAGCUCUUUUCAUUGAAGCCUAAAACAAGAUAGUUGAAUUAAUGAAUCUAGUGAUGACUCAUUUUAAGCAACAAUUGGGAAAAGUAUGAUGGAUGAUUUAAAAUAUACAUACAGACAUACAUGUAUAUAUCUAUAUAUACACAACACAUACAAUGGCAUCAGCACGUAAUAUAUCGGUUCUUCCAAAAGAUUGUCAAAAUACUUUCAGAAUGGUUAUUCUGUUUAAGACACAAAGUACCAAAUAAUCUUUCCCUUAAAUUCUGCAAAUAAGAUGUGAAUAUUCUUUAAAAUUUAAUAAAAUUUUUAAUAAAUGGAGAAGAAACUGCUCAGAAUAUUUGAAACAACAAAACAAAUUAAACUAUUUGAACAUGUUGAAGGAAAGAUACAAGGAAAUGGGAAAUAUUUUCAAAUUUAUUGGAAAUACCAAGGUCCUUUGCACAAAUGACUGUAUUUAUCAAAUAUUGUCAAGUGAGUUGUUAAGACAAGAAUGAGAAAUGUGUUUCAGAGCAAGCUCUUAGCUUAGAGUUUCUCUGAUUGACAAACAUGAUAAAUUUUAAUUUUUGAAUACCUAAAGAUGCACCGAGGUGGGUGCUUUUGGGAAAGUACACAAACAUGUUGAUUUUUAUUCCAUUUGCUUGUUCAAUCAACAUAUAUUUAGAGCACAUCUACUUAAAUCCAGACACUGUCUAAACUGAGUGAUUCAAAGAUUAGUAAGGUGUAGUCCUUGCCCUUGAACAGUUCUGUCUGGUGGAUGAGACAGACACAUAAAUGUAGAAUAUUAAAUGCUAAUACAUAAGUAUGAAAAGAGACUAUAACCUACAAUCUGUUUCAUGAGUUUUUUCAAAAACAUUUAUUGAGCAUCUACAAUAUGCUAGGCACUGGUUCAGACACUGAUGAUACAGCAGUGAACAAAACAGCCUCAGGGAACUUACAUUCUAUUAGGAGAAGGCAGGCAAUGAGCGCACACAUCACUAAAACAAAUAGAAUGUCAUUUGUAUUCUAUUGCUAGGGAGAAAAAUAAAAUAGGAAAAGGGGGGUAGUGAAUGUGAGAAAUGUGAGCUGCAAUUUUAAAUAUGGUAUUCGAGAAGACCUUACUGAGAAGGUGGUCAUUAUGCAAGUGCUUGAAGCUGAUGAAGGGCUAUCUGUUGAAAUACCUAGUGUGGAAUAUCAAUGCAGACAGAGGGAAGAGCAAGUGGAAAAAUCUCUGUGGGUGGAGUUGGAGUAAACAAGAAUAGCAGGAAUGAGAAGGAGAGAAGAAACAAAAAGCUAGAUAUAUACAUACAUGUCUUGCAGGCCAUUGUACAAUUUUUCUACUGAGUGAAAUGGGAAGACAUGAUGGGUUUGGAGUGAGAGACUGACAGGAUUGCUGUUUCAUAGAUUAAAUAAAUCAAAACAUUCAAACAACUAUCUUAUAAUAGGACAUUCUCCACAUAUUUAGAUUAUUUUGCCUAGUUAAAGCUUAAGGAGUUUGUGCUACUUGCCAAUUUCUAUAACUCUUAAAAAUAAUUUGCUCCAGACUGAUGAUAAUUAUUUUGCUAAUAAUGGACUAUAGAUUAUAGACAAAUUUGGUAUUCAGCUUUUCAUGUAAAACACUUCAUAUAAAAAAAUUACAGAAUACCUAAUAUGUAUCAAGGGUGGGAGUAAUGAGGUUUUUACCCUGCAUGCACAAACAUACACAUUUAUAAAAGGUUUUUGUAUUGGUCUAUCUGCUCAGAGUGCAAUGGAGCUUGUAAAACAACUUUUACUUUUUUGUAUAAUUAACUAAUAUGUGUUUGUUACUUGUCCAUGAAUAUUUAGAUCUUAUAUCAUGUUAUUUGAUUUAUUGAUAUAUAUUCUUUAUAUAUAUUUAUAUAUAUAAUUACCCAUGUUUUUUUCUGUUAAUAUUCUUCUACAACAUCAUUUCUAAUGCCUGCAUAAAGUUGAAUUAUGAAUUCACCAGAUUAAUGUCAGUUAUUUAUGUAUUUUUUAUUGAGAUGGAGUCUCACUCUGUUGCCAAGCUGGAGUGCAGUGGCGCAAUCUCAGCUCACUGUAACCUCCGCCUCCGGGGUUCAAGCAAUUCUCCUGCCUCAGCCUCCCGAGUAGCUGAGACUACGGGCACGCAGCACCAUGCCCAGCUAAUUUUUGUAUUUUUAGUAGAGACAGGGUUUUACCAUGUUGGCCAGGAUGGUCUCGAUCUCUUGACCUCAUGAUCUGCCUGCCUUGGCCUCCCAAAGUGCGGGAAUUACAGGUAUGAGGCACCAUGCCCGGCCAAUGUCAGUUAUUAAUAAUCAGUUAUCAAUCAGUCACCUGUUGUAGGGCAUAUAUGCUGUUUUAUUUUUGCAUGAAUAACUUCAGAAUGAACAUAUUUUUGGAUACAUCUUGCAAAAAGAAUAUUGUUUUCUUAAAAAAAUCAGAAAUAAAGUUGAUGACUCAGAGAAUGCACAUAUUUACCGUUUGGCUAUUGCUAUGGUUUGAAUGUUUGUGUCCUCCCAAAAUUUACAUGUUAAAACCUAAUCACCAAUGUGAGGAUAUUAUGAGGUGGGCCCUUUGAGGGGUGAUUAGAUCAUGAGGGCAGAACUUUCAUAAAUGGGAUUAGUGCCCUUAUUAAAGCAACCUGGAGAGCUGCAUUGUCCCUUCUGCCAUCUGAGGACACAGCGAGAAGGCAUCAUCCAUGAACCGGAGGGUGGGUGCUCACCAGACACCAAAUUUGCCAAUGUUUUAAUCUUGGACUUCCCAACCUCCAGAAUCGGAAGCAGUAAAUGUCUGUUUAUAAGCUAACCACUUCAUGGUAUUUUGUUAUGGCAGCCAAAUAGACUAAGAAAGCUAUGUAUUGCUCAACUGCCCUGCCUAUAUACUAUACUAAGUUUUUACUCAUUAUGGAAUCUUAUGAACCUGUUAAUUUUAUUGCACCUUCAUUUCCUUAAAAAAUCUUUGCCAGUUUGAUGUGUGAAAAACUCUAUGUCAUUAUAAUUUUUUGACAUUGCUUUGAUUACUGAUUGGGUUGACUCAAUUUUCACAUUUUCAUUAACUGCUUGUAUUCCCUUUUUUGUGAGUUGGCCAUUGAUGCCCUUUAUCUAUUUGUAUAUCACUGGAAAUCUUUUCCCCUUAGGCUUUCUAUACUCUCUGCUAUGUUGAAAAAGAGUAAUGCUAAAUAAUGAUCUGCAAUGAAGUUUUAAGAUAAAAAUGUGAUAGUUAUUCAUAAUAUUUAUUUACCUGCUAUGUACUAGGUACUAUGUUAGGCAUGGAGGAUAAAAAGAUAAGACCCAUUAAAAAUUAUCAAGGAUCUUACAGUGUAGGGGUAGUGUAGGGGUAGGGGUAGUGGAAAUCAAGAAAACAAACUGCAGAACAAGAACAGCACAUCGUUCAUUAUUCAGAUGAUUAAAAAUUGAUGAUUAUAAUUUUAUGUAGGAAAACAGAAUGAGAGCCAGUGACUGAGAGAGGGAAAUCCUUCUGGAGUGUAGGUUUUUCUUUCUGGCCUCUGAUUAAAAACAGAGAUCUGCCUUUUAAGUGCCACAACAUGCUAAAUUGCAACGGUGUUAAUAUAUGGUAGAAAUGUACUAUUUUGGUUUCUAAUGGCACUUAUGAUUACCACCCAGGCUAGCAUGCAUAGGAAAUGACUGAGCCCAUCUCCAGAAAUCACUUGCCUUGGUUGAUUUUCACACAUUCAACCAAGUGAGUAUAUGAAUAUGCAAUUACACAUACAUUGCAAUCAGAGUAAUACUUCAAAAUACACACUUGAUCAUACCAUUCUUCUACUUUAAAAAACCUUCAUGGCUUCCCAUUUCUUAUAGAAUAAAGUUCAAAACCCUAAACAAAGACUAAAUAAAACAUGGCAUGCUUAUCUUGCAGCUUUACCCUGGGUCACUCUCCCACUAGUUGCUUAAACUCCAGCCAUCAGGGCCUUCUUUCCCUGUUGGAUAUCUCUGACCCUGGAGCUUUUACACUUUGCUCUCCUUUCCCGGAAGUCUUUUAAUAACCUCCUUUUGCCUUUUUAACUCUUACGUUGUCCUUUAGGUCUCAGCAGUAAGGCCAUUACCUCAAGGACUCCAUUGAUUUCUCAGGGCCCUCUACUAUAACAGCCUUUUGUUUUUCAUUGAUGUUGCCAUUUGCAGUAAAUAUAUUUUUGUGUGAUUAUUUUGCAAAUGUCCAUCUCCCUAACUAAUCUGCAAAGCACAGGAGAAUAAGAGUUCACUUUUAUUUUGCUCAUCACGGUACCUCUAGUGUUUUCCACUGAACCUAGCAUGUGUUCGGCACAUAAUUAUCAGUGAUAAGAAUGAAUGAACAAAUACAGAAACAUCUCAGAACAAUGAAAUAAAUGAUGAGAUUUAAAAAUAUGAGUUAAUUUUUAUGUCCAGGCAUGAUGAUAAUUAAGCAUGUACAUUUUACAUGCAGUCUAGACUAUUUGUUAAUUAAUAUACAGAGGUAACAAUGCAGCUUAGGUUCACUAGGAAGCAGACUUUGCAAUAGAAAUGUGUGUGCAGGAAGUAUAUUCAUUAUUCAGUGCUGUCUGGAUGAGGCCCAGUGAGAGCAAGGAAAUGAAGCAGGAUGGGCAAAGGGAGAAGCUGAACUCUACAGACGUCCCAACAUAUGUCCCAGCUAAUCCCUUGAGGGACCUCUGAAGGUGGAAUGGCCCCUAAAAGGUGUCUUGAAUUGAGGCAAGGGCCCAGCCUUUAAAUUCCCACAUCAACUGUCAUUGGAUAUCUGCUACCCCAGGAAAGGGCUUGAACUUCGAGUGAGAUGGCUCUCUUAGCCAGGGGCAAUUUCCAGAGAGGGACUCAGCAGACAGCUGUCAACCACUAACAUUCCCAGGAGCUGAGAGAAUGAGUGCCUCAGUUUUGAAUGGGUUGGGGGAUGGGUGGUGAUCUGUGAAGCACAUCAUAACAUCUGCUACAGAUAACCAAAAGGGAAAAUACAUACUUUAAGGCAAGGAUAUGAAGAACUUGCUCAAAUGUAAAUGAACUAGAAAUUAUAAGACAAUAAAAUUCCAGCAAUAAAACAAGAAACCACUUUAAAUGCCAGUUCUUGGAAUUAUGACAAUAUUAGAUGGUGAGAGGAAACCAACAAGGCCAAGGAAAAGACCCCUAAGUAGUAAGGCAAAUUAUUUCAGGGGACAUUCAUUCUAAAGGAUGUUUUCCCCCUACUUUAAGUUAGAUAAGUCUAUAAACUUUCCCCUUACACUGCAUUUUACCCAAAAUCUUUCAUAGGCAAUCAUGCAUUAAUGACAUUUUUCUAGAACGUGGGAACGUGGGCAUUGAAAGAUUAUAUGUUUAAAUUUGUAAUAUUUAAUUUAUAUGACACUGUUCAAUUUACAAAAUACUAUUGCAUACAUUUUGACAUCUGACUCUCAUAGUAAUCCAUUCAAUUAAACCACUCAUUUAAAAUCACUAAGCGGCAAUUUUUGUUUUUCAGUUAGUGGCUAAAGGUUUGUGGUAACAGAGACAAUGUCUCUAUGGUCCACUGAGAUGUCACUAAUGCUUAUGACAGUGUCUGAAACAAUUGUACUAAAAAAUAAUUGCUAAAUAAAUUUAUGGGAGAGGUUUGUAGUUUCUCUGUGUUAUCUGUGCUUUUUAUGGCAUUUACAUAAUACAUGCUGAUAUACUGCAUAUCUAUAUAUGCAAUAUGAUAGACAUGUAGUUGAGCACAUUAUACUGUUUGUUCCAUGAAAUAUGAACCAACGUAUUCCUUUUGGUCUUUUUAACAGGAAUGCUGGAAAUAUUUGGGCCUAACUGAUCUUUAGUCAUUAUCCUACUGGUCAACAUGGGUAGGAAUUAAUUUGGCCCUUGAAAAUCAGACAGUGGAAAAAAUGCACCUCAUGAUCAUUCAGCCUCUGACUUUUUGGGAGGAAAUCAUUUUCAAAGAAAUGUCCCCCACCAAAAAAAAUUUCUUAAUGCUACACUGCAAAGGGAAAAUAAAGGCAUAUGGAAAUCUGAAUUUUUAUUGUGUUUCUAAAUUUGUAAUAUUGAAUAACUUUUUAGAUGUGAAAUUAAAGAUGACUCAUAAGCCCUACUUCUGACUUUGGUAGUAAUAAUAUUCAUUUAUGUACUGUAAGCUAUUAGGUUCAAACAUAAGCUGUCUCUCCAAAGCCUACAAAAAAUUAAUGUGGAACACCUGAUAUUUCACUGUGCUUCCAGAUGGAGGGACAGCUUGACAAACGCCAUCAUAAUUUACAACUUUUAAAAAGUGUGGUGCAAAUGCAUUUGCAGUAAAAGCUUUAAACAGCUUGCAUUAUUUACAGGUACAACUGUGUUUAAUGUGCAAUUUCAAUGAAUUUAAAAUAUUAUUAGAUUCAAUCACUGAUCACAGAGCAUAGGUGUGGCAUGUGAGCAAUGUGAUUAGAUGCCUUAAUUAAUAUGUCAGAACAGGAUACAUCUGUUUGAUGAAGUUGGGGGGAUGGUAAAUAGCAUUUAAAUUUUAUAUUUGAUUAUUGACUAUCACCGAUGAAACUCUUAUCUUUGGAAAACCAGCAUAUUUUGGACUUAUCCUCUAUAGUUGUUUAGGAGAAUUAUAACAGAAAACGAAUAUGAAAAUACACUGUAUAACUCUUACAGAUAACUUGGAUUCUUGUACACAUAAAUUAACUAUCAAUUGCUAACUGAUAAGAUGUAUGUUAAAGUGUAACCUGAAAGAGCAAUAAGCCUGUAUCCCUGUAAGUUAGGAAAUUGAACAUUGAACCUGACUGAUUAA